rnacentral:rRNA from 1 species
UACGUAGGGUGCAAGCGUUGUCCGGAAUUAUUGGGCGUAAAGAGCGCGCAGGCGGCCCGGCAAGUCGGGUGUGAAAUCCCGGGGCUCAACCCCGGAACUGCCUCCAAAACUGCUGGUCUGGAGGUCGAGAGAGGUGAGUGGAAUUCCGAGUGUAGAGGUGAAAUUCGUAGAUAUUCGGAGGAACACCAGUGGCGAAGGCGGCUCACUGGCCCGAUACUGACGCUGAGGUGCGAAAGCGUGGGGAGCAAACAGG